CAGCGCGCCGAGGGUCGCGGGCCGUCUCUUUGGUAUCCUAGCUGUAGGCGUGCGCGGCCCUAAAGUUAUGGUACCGAAGUUACGGCUCGUGACGUAUCAGUCGACGUC